rnacentral:rRNA from 1 species
GACGAACGCUGGCGGCGUGCUUAACACAUGCAAGUCGAGCGGUAAGGCCCUUUCGGGGGUACGACGAGCGGCGAACGGGUGAGUAACACGUGGGUGACCUGCCCUUAGCUCUGGGAUAAGCCUGGGAAACGUGGGUCGUAAUACCGGAUAUGACUCCAUAACGCAUGUUGUGGGGUGGAAAGCCUUGUGCGGCUAGGGAUGGCCCGCGGCCUAUCAGCUUGUUGGUGGGGUGAUGGCCNGCCAAGGCGACGACGGGUAGCCGGCCUGAGAGGGCGACCGGCCACACUGGGACUGAGACACGGCCCAGACUCCUACGGGAGGCAGCAGUGGGGAAUCUUGCGCAAUGGGCGAAAG